rnacentral:lncRNA from 1 species
UAGAUUCUUCACUAAAUUGAAACUCAUUAUCCUUAAAACCACUCUCACUUGCAACAUGAUCCUCAUCAUUACCUUCUUGCGUAGUUUCAUUCUUAACAUCAACAUUAGAAUCAUUAGUCACUUCUUCAGCAACAAUAUUAGGAUCAGUAGUAACUUCUUCAGCAACACCAUUAGGUGUUUCUUCAUCAUCAACCUCAAUGUUAGCAUCUAAUUCAC